GGGUUGUGAGGUUAAGCGACUAAGCGUACACGGUGGAUGCCCUGGCAGUCAGAGGCGAUGAAGGGCGUGCUAAUCUGCGAUAAGCGCCGGUAAGGUGAUAUGAACCGUUAUAACCGGCGAUACCCGAAUGGGGAAACCCAGUGUGACUCGUCACACUAUCAUUAACUGAAUCCAUAGGUUAAUGAGGCGAACCGGGGGAACUGAAACAUCUAAGUACCCCGAGGAAAAGAAAUCAACCGAGAUUCCCCCAGUAGCGGCGAGCGAACGGGGAGGAGCCCAGAGCCUGAAUCAGCAUGUGUGUUAGUGGAAGCGUCUGGAAAGGCGCGCGAUACAGGGUGACAGCCCCGUACACAAAAGCGCAUGUGCUGUGAGCUCGAUGAGUAGGGCGGGACACGUGGUAUCCUGUCUGAAUAUGGGGGGACCAUCCUCCAAGGCUAAAUACUCCUGACUGACCGAUAGUGAACCAGUACCGUGAGGGAAAGGCGAAAAGAACCCCGGCGAGGGGAGUGAAAAAGAACCUGAAACCGUGUACGUACAAGCAGUGGGAGCACAGGUUUACCUGUGUGACUGCGUACCUUUUGUAUAAUGGGUCAGCGACUUAUAUUCUGUAGCAAGGUUAACCGAAUAGGGGAGCCGCAGGGAAACCGAGUCUUAACCGGGCGUUAAGUUGCAGGGUAUAGACCCGAAACCCGGUGAUCUAGCCAUGGGCAGGUUGAAGGUUGGGUAACACUAACUGGAGGACCGAACCGACUAAUGUUGAAAAAUUAGCGGAUGACCUGUGGCUGGGGGUGAAAGGCCAAUCAAACCGGGAGAUAGCUGGUUCUCCCCGAAAGCUAUUUAGGUAGCGCCUCGUGAAUUCAUCUCCGGGGGUAGAGCACUGUUUCGGCUAGGGGGCCAUCCCGGCUUACCAACCCGAUGCAAACUGCGAAUACCGGAGAAUGUUAUCACGGGAGACACACGGCGGGUGCUAACGUCCGUCGUGAAGAGGGAAACAACCCAGACCGCCAGCUAAGGUCCCAAAGUCAUGGUUAAGUGGGAAACGAUGUGGGAAGGCCCAGACAGCCAGGAUGUUGGCUUAGAAGCAGCCAUCAUUUAAAGAAAGCGUAAUAGCUCACUGGUCGAGUCGGCCUGCGCGGAAGAUGUAACGGGGCUAAACCAUGCACCGAAGCUGCGGCAGCGACACUGUGUGUUGUUGGGUAGGGGAGCGUUCUGUAAGCCUGUGAAGGUGUGUCGUGAGGCAUGCUGGAGGUAUCAGAAGUGCGAAUGCUGACAUAAGUAACGAUAAAGCGGGUGAAAAGCCCGCUCGCCGGAAGACCAAGGGUUCCUGUCCAACGUUAAUCGGGGCAGGGUGAGUCGACCCCUAAGGCGAGGCCGAAAGGCGUAGUCGAUGGGAAACGGGUUAAUAUUCCCGUACUUGGUGUUACUGCGAAGGGGGGACGGAGAAGGCUAUGUUGGCCGGGCGACGGUUGUCCCGGUUUAAGCGUGUAGGUGUGUGUUCCAGGUAAAUCCGGUUCACUUUAACACUGAGGCGUGAUGACGAGGCACUACGGUGCUGAAGCAACAAAUGCCCUGCUUCCAGGAAAAGCCUCUAAGCAUCAGGUAACAUCAAAUCGUACCCCAAACCGACACAGGUGGUCAGGUAGAGAAUACCAAGGCGCUUGAGAGAACUCGGGUGAAGGAACUAGGCAAAAUGGUGCCGUAACUUCGGGAGAAGGCACGCUGACAUGUAGGUGAAGUGAUUUACUCAUGGAGCUGAAGUCAGUCGAAGAUACCAGCUGGCUGCAACUGUUUAUUAAAAACACAGCACUGUGCAAACACGAAAGUGGACGUAUACGGUGUGACGCCUGCCCGGUGCCGGAAGGUUAAUUGAUGGGGUCAGCGCAAGCGAAGCUCCUGAUCGAAGCCCCGGUAAACGGCGGCCGUAACUAUAACGGUCCUAAGGUAGCGAAAUUCCUUGUCGGGUAAGUUCCGACCUGCACGAAUGGCGUAAUGAUGGCCAGGCUGUCUCCACCCGAGACUCAGUGAAAUUGAACUCGCUGUGAAGAUGCAGUGUACCCGCGGCAAGACGGAAAGACCCCGUGAACCUUUACUAUAGCUUGACACUGAACAUUGAGCCUUGAUGUGUAGGAUAGGUGGGAGGCUUUGAAGUGUGGACGCCAGUCUGCAUGGAGCCGACCUUGAAAUACCACCCUUUAAUGUUUGAUGUUCUAACGUGGACCCGUUAUCCGGGUUGCGGACAGUGUCUGGUGGGUAGUUUGACUGGGGCGGUCUCCUCCUAAAGAGUAACGGAGGAGCACGAAGGUUGGCUAAUCCUGGUCGGACAUCAGGAGGUUAGUGCAAUGGCAUAAGCCAGCUUGACUGCGAGCGUGACGGCGCGAGCAGGUGCGAAAGCAGGUCAUAGUGAUCCGGUGGUUCUGAAUGGAAGGGCCAUCGCUCAACGGAUAAAAGGUACUCCGGGGAUAACAGGCUGAUACCGCCCAAGAGUUCAUAUCGACGGCGGUGUUUGGCACCUCGAUGUCGGCUCAUCACAUCCUGGGGCUGAAGUAGGUCCCAAGGGUAUGGCUGUUCGCCAUUUAAAGUGGUACGCGAGCUGGGUUUAGAACGUCGUGAGACAGUUCGGUCCCUAUCUGCCGUGGGCGCUGGAGAACUGAGGGGGGCUGCUCCUAGUACGAGAGGACCGGAGUGGACGCAUCACUGGUGUUCGGGUUGUCAUGCCAAUGGCACUGCCCGGUAGCUAAAUGCGGAAGAGAUAAGUGCUGAAAGCAUCUAAGCACGAAACUUGCCCCGAGAUGAGUUCUCCCUGAGACUUAGAGUCUCCUGAAGGAACGUUGAAGACGACGACGUUGAUAGGCCGGGUGUGUAAGCGCAGCGAUGCGUUGAGCUAACCGGUACUAAUGAACCGUGAGGCUUAACCUUACAACGCCGAAG
rnacentral:rRNA from 1 species